GUCUCUAUGCACCAUUCAUCUCAACACUAACCAAAUGGUGGCUUUGUAACAGUGAUUGUGGGAGGAUGCUGUGCAGGUGUCAACAUGAAUGUGCCGGAGGACUAGAGUAUGCUGGCGUCGACACCCCACCUCCUCCCCUUCAGACUCCAUCGAGGGUUGGUCCCUGUCCUGUGAGGAGAGGAUGCAAUGGGUCUCUGCUUCAGCCGUGGCACCUUCUCUACAACCCUCGCCACUGUCACCAGUUUGUCCCCAUCCUGUGAAGGGGGGUAGGCUUUAGCCCCCUGCCUCAUCAAUCGGCAGGAUAAGCGCCCUCUUCUUUGAAACAGGACAUGUUUUAUUGAUGCUCUACAUGAGUAUUAUAUACAUGUAUAUAUACAGUGCCAUGUGUAUGUUUUUACCCCCCCUACUGAUUUUGUUUACUUUUUUGCACAUUUGGCACACUUAACAUUUUCAGAUAGCCACACUAAUGUAAACAUUACCCAUGACCCAAGUAAGCAUAAAAUGCAGUUUCUCAGUGAUUAA